UUUGGUGUUUGUCACGCAGAUAUGAAAGCGGUCGUGGCGCUGCUGGCGGCCUGCUGCCUAGCAGCCUGCUGUGAUGCGGGACACAUCAUACCGUGGCUACACAUCAGCAAGAGUAUAUUCGUCAAACCGGUCAAGUACGUGUACAAGGAGAUCCCCAUCUACAAGACCAUACCGGUGUACAAGACCAUCCCCGUCUACAAGACCAUUCCCGUGGUGAAGGAGAUCAAGGUGAUCAAGGAGGUGCACAAGGACGAAUGGCAGGACGAGCACAAGGAUGAGUGGCAGGACGAGCAGCCCACGUACUCGGAUGGCUGGAAGCAGCAGUCCGGAGGCGGAGGUGGUGGCUGGGCAUCACCGGGAGGAUGGGAGUCUUCUGGACCGUGGGAGUCCAAGCCGUGGGAGUCAAAGCCUUGGGAGUCCAAGCCGUGGGACUCGGGGCACCCAGUGGAAGCGGAAGUGCACCACGAGGAACCUCAAGCGCACCACGAGGAACCUGAAGUUCACCACGUGCACACGGAACACCACACAGUCAAGCACGUCUCGCUGCGAGACCUGCUGCCCAAGUGGAUCAGCCUCACAAUCGGGGUCCACAAGGACUGAAGGACGUAUCCCAAUCGAGUCAGAACCCUUCUGGCAGCUCUAUAAGCCAUGGCCAGCCUUUCAGAUGCGCCCGGGAGGUUUCCGGACGCAGUCAGCUGGCGCCUUGACCUGCACGCGUCUCGACAGCGGAAGAAGGAGUUGCACGUCCGGAAACCGGAUACCAAAGAUGAAAGGAACCCGGAUAGCGACUCCCUUCAACGAGAGCGAUUUGAAGUUUUUGCGGUGGCCUGCCCGAUGUACCCGAAAACUGUCGAGUGCGUGCCGGGCAUUCGAAUUCUCCACGGCCAAACAGAGACUCGAACAAAGCUGCACUGCGCGGCGUAAACCGCCGCACGCCAGUCACAUGCAGUCACAAAGGACACUAUGCCGUACUAGAGGACUGCAAGCCGACGACCCCAUAUUCCUAACAGCCAAAUAAUUCACCGUUAAGUCUUCGUCGAGUUAAUGUUGAAUCUUAGUAUAAACGUCAUUUCUGUUUACGUUACUUUUAACGCUGCACAAACUGCCAGGUACUGCUACACAAUGACCAGACGCCAGGACCUAGAGAGAAACCGAUCGUGGUAUUGACCUAUGUCGCUGACACGCGUCACGAGAAGGCAAGAGCCCAAGCCAGAAAUGUCGCGAUGAACUAGUGUGUACUUCAAGUGGCUAGCCAGAGCUUUAUGAACUGUGAGUGUACACUUUCCAGUAACUGAGAUAACGGAGGAUGAGGUCCGCUUUCGCGUUUAGCAGCAAAAAAUGGUGCGAUGAGUAUAAGCUAUUUGACUAGGUACAUUUGAGUGCUUUCAGACACACACAGUUCACGCAACUCCACACUUCAAUUAGUGCAAAGCGUGAAAGGGGCGGCUUCCAAACGUUUCACCUUUGUGUCGAAGCAGCAUAUGAAUUCACAAACAGCAGCGCAUUCUUCAAGUUUUAAAAAUGCCUUCUGAAUAGGAUGAGAUGCAAUCACAUACCAUAUCACAAAGCUCGCUAUAUAUUAGCGUCCCUCGACCUCAAAAGUAAAACGAGCGCAUGAAAGUCUUGAAAUUUGCGUGCAAUAACGAACGAAGAAAGACGUCGAUACUAGAAAGACAAAAGGAAAAGCUAGCUUGAGCUUCGAUGUCUAUCUCAACUGCAUGAUGAGCCUCCUCAAGGUAUCAAUAUCCUCAAGGUAUCAAUAUCUUCUUUUUCGUUAUCCUAUCAGAGACUGCGCAGGCGCAGUAGAAGAAAUUAUUACGACUCGCAUCUCGCACGAAAUUUUAGGCACUACGCGCUUUUCUACUACACUUACUACACUGUGAUAACACCACUCUACUUGGUGAAAGGUUAGUGCUUCGAAUAUUCUCCUGUAUCUGUACCUGACAUGUGAACACGUUUCACAGGGCUUUACGUGCUAACAAUACAACUUUCUGAGCGUGGGAAAGUCUUGACAAUGUGCCACGACAAACGCAUAUGUAGUUGCGCCAAACUGAUGCCUUAAAGAUAGCCACAUUGGUUAUUGCCAGUUAGUCUGCAUACGCUAAUCGAGCUAACUAGACAGUUAUAACACGCAUUUAAGGGCAGCACGAGUACCCUGCCGCGCCAAGCCUUCGCAUGCAGUGUGCGCCCGUGUUGAAAGGCUCCAUUGACGUAGAAACAAAAACGCGGCAUUUAGAACUGCGGUAAUGUUUAUACACACAUCGUUAGCAGUUUCCUCACGAAACGCCCAUCGUGCGCGUUUUAAGCUUUUCGAUUUAUUAUUUUUUGCAUAACUCCCGACUAGUCCUUCGCUCACCGUUUUCUGAGCGCCCCCUUGUCACGUGACUUUUUCUCCACGAACGUGUGCAUGUAACUAUACGAAAACGCGAAACAAAACGCCAAUAAUAAUAAAAAGCUCGGCAACGUGCCACCA